CAAAGGAAGCGAUUCCGGCAACGGAUGGGCAUGCGUGACAUUAGCUAGUUGGCGGGGCAACGGCCCACCAAGGCGACGAUGUCUAGGGGUUCUGAGAGGAAGGUCCCCCACACUGGUACUGAGACACGGACCAGACUCCUACGGGAGGCAGCAGUGAGGAAUAUUGGUCAAUGGGCGCGAGCCUGAACCAGCCAAGUCGCGUGAGGGAUGACGGCCCUACGGGUUGUAAACCUCUUUUGUCGGGGAGCAAAUUCCGCCACGCGUGGCGGAGUCGAGAGUACCCGAAGAAAAAGCAUCGGCUAACUCCGUGCCAGCAGCCGCGGUAAUACGGAGGAUGCGAGCGUUAUCCGGAUUUAUUGGGUUUAAAGGGUGCGUAGGCGGACUGUCAAGUCAGCGGUAAAAUACGGGGGCUCAACCUCCGCCCGCCGUUGAAACUGACGGUCUUGAGUGGGCGAGAAGUAUGCGGAAUGCGUGGUGUAGCGGUGAAAUGCAUAGAUAUCACGCAGAACUCCGAUUGCGAAGGCAGCAUACCGGCGCCCAACUGACGCUGAAGCACGAAAGCGUGGGUAUCGAACAGGAUUAGAUACCCUGGUAGUCCACGCAGUAAACGAUGAAUACUAGCUGUCCGGGGCGAAUGAGCCCUGG
rnacentral:rRNA from 1 species